GACGAACCGUGCGAACGUUAUUCGGAAUCACUGGGCUUAAAGCGCGUGUAGGCGGGUCGGGACGUCGGUCGCUGAAAUCCCCCGGCUCAACCGGGGAAGGGGCGCCGAUACGGCCGGCCUCGAGGGACGUAGGGGGGGCUGGAACUUCCGGUGGAGCGGUGAAAUGCGUUGAGAUCGGAAGGAACGCCCGUGGCGAAAGCGAGCCCCUGGACGUCUACUGACGCUGAGACGCGAAAGCCAGGGGAGCGAACGGG
rnacentral:rRNA from 1 species